CCACCUGAUCCCAUCCCGAACUCAGAAGUGAAACGAGUCAUCGCCGAUGAUAGUGUGGGGCCUCCCCAUGUGAAAGUAGGUCAAUGCCAGCA
rnacentral:rRNA from 1 species